GUAGACUGCCCAGGAUUCCUGGAGUAGCUCCUUAUAGAACAGGGUUUCUCUCCUGGAUGUAUAAUUUAGGAGAUGGGAAUUUUUACAGCCUCCGAAAUUACGCGUCGGCUCCAACAGAUGUCUAACUGUGCGGACGAGGGUCAUUCUGACUGGUCUGUGGAGAACUGGCUGAGUGGGUUUGAAAAAGACAAGAGACAUAUUUAUAAGAGUCCAGUGAGCAAAUGAAGAUAUUCCAGUGCUUGAAUAUAAUCUGUGUGUAAAAAAUACCUGCGAAGAAUUAAUCAGUUCAAUGAAUUUAUGGCCAAAUGACUGGCUUGAUUGAAAUGAAAGAAAUCCAAUUCGGUUCCUCUCAAAGGAAAUCUCACAGCUGAUAUUAUGAUAAUAAACAACCAUUGUUUUUGUUCACAUUAAGUAAACUAAAUAUUGGAGAAGUA
rnacentral:lncRNA from 10 species